rnacentral:lncRNA from 1 species
AACAGUAAAACAGUUAAUAAUAUUUUGUUGUUACUCAAAUAUUAUAUAUACAAAUGUAGAUGUAAGAACAUAUCCCCCACAAAAUAUGGUGGGGGAGAAUAUUUAAAAUAUCGGAUUAAUAUAGAAAAAUACUCUGUAUGUUUCUUAACCCCUGUACAAAAAGUAAAAAUGGAUCAGAAAUGGCAUUUGUUAGAAUCAGUUUUUAUCUAAUUUAUUUGAUUAAUUACAAAAUCAUUUGUAAUAUUUAUAUUUAUAUCUUAUUAUAUCAUUAUGACUUAAUUGAUCUAUCAAGUAUUACUUUAUUUUUUAUAAUGUGUAUCGAAUACUGUAGUAUGUAAUUUCACAUGUUUCAUCAUCAAAAAUAAAA